rnacentral:lncRNA from 1 species
UUCCAGGAGAAGGAACUGCUAGAAAGGAAGGCAAGUUUAUGCGAAAAGGUACAAUUAGUUUAUACUACUGGGCAUGAUUUUCAGCUGGGUUUCGUGUUGCAUGAUGAUCUGACAAAAAGAAUCUGAGGGUUUUGAUGUUUUAGUGCGGAGAGAAGCCUUGGGAGCCGCCACCGCCGUCAAUGGGAGGUAAAGGGAAGGAGGCAGUGGCGACGGCAGGGAGCAGCAACGGUAUGAGCAAUGAGUGUUCGACGGUGGUGGAGACUACUUUGUCCAUCGGACUUCCCACGGCUACACGUUAUAUUGGGCAUUGAAUUAAAGAAAUUGUAUCUGAUUUACCAAAUUUUAAAAAAUGUAACUGUAUCAAAAUGCUCUAAAUUAAAGAGUGUUGAUUAGGGAGGUGUUCUGGUGAUAGUUAUAAGAAAUAAGCUCUGAAUAUAAUUGAAAAGGAUGAGGAGCAGUACGGCGUCGUCUUGUGUGUGCUUAUGGUGUAUGUUGUUACGUUCUCAAACUGGUGUUAGCAGUUGUAAUUAGCUCCAAUUUAGUGAUGGGAUUUAAUAAGAAUGAGGAGGAAAAUGUGUGGCUUUAAAAGAUAAGUGUGUUUUGACGAUGGCGUAGAAGAGUUUUAGUGGAGUUGGUUUGGUGGUACAAGUUGUAUGUGGUUGUGUGGGUGAUAUGAAGGUAUUAUAUAUGAAUUAAAUAUAUAUUUAAUGGCGGAGUUAAUAAUGAAGGAG